rnacentral:misc_RNA from 1 species
ACAAACUUGGUCAUUUAGAGGAAGUAAAAGUCGUAACAAGGUUUCCGUAGGUGAACCUGCGGAAGGAUCAUUAUUAAAUAAAGUCUGGGACGCCAGCAUGCCAGCAAUGGUGGUUGGUGGUUAACCCAGUACAUAGCUUUUUGCGCCCGACCCAGUGUGCCUGAUAAAGGAUGCUUGGGAACGGUGUCAAAUUGUGACUACCCUUUGUGAAACUUCUAUAUUUGCUUCGGCAGCACUCACAGCGGGCAACCGUUGGCGGGGUCAGGCUGCCAGAAGACACCCUUUUAAAACCAGAUGAAAUGUCAUGCAGUCUGAUAACUAUAUAUUUUGAGAAAUCAAAUUAUGUUAAAACUUUCAGCAACGGAUCUCUUGGUUCUCGCAUCGAUGAAGAACGCAGC